AGAGUUUGAUCAUGGCUCAGAACGAACGCUGGCGGCAGGCUUAACACAUGCAAGUCGAGCGCCCCGCAAGGGGAGCGGCAGACGGGUGAGUAACGCGUGGGAAUCUACCCUUUUCUACGGAAUAACGCAGGGAAACUUGUGCUAAUACCGUAUACGCCCUUCGGGGGAAAGAUUUAUCGGGAAAGGAUGAGCCCGCGUUGGAUUAGCUAGUUGGUGGGGUAAAGGCCUACCAAGGCGACGAUCCAUAGCUGGUCUGAGAGGAUGAUCAGCCACAUUGGGACUGAGACACGGCCCAAACUCCUACGGGAGGCAGCAGUGGGGAAUAUUGGACAAUGGGCGCAAGCCUGAUCCAGCCAUGCCGCGUGAGUGAUGAAGGCCCUAGGGUUGUAAAGCUCUUUCACCGGUGAAGAUAAUGACGGUAACCGGAGAAGAAGCCCCGGCUAACUUCGUGCCAGCAGCCGCGGUAAUAC
rnacentral:rRNA from 1 species